rnacentral:rRNA from 1 species
CCUACGGGGGGCAGCAGUGAGGAAUAUUGGUCAAUGGACGCAAGCCUGAACCAGCCAUGUCGCGUGCAGGAUGACGGCCCUACGAGUUGUAAACUUCUUUUGUACGAGGGUAAACUCAGACACGUGUGCCUUUUUGUAAGUACUUUAUGAAUAAGGAUCGGCUAACUCCGUGCCAGCAGCCGCGGUAAUACGGAGGAUUCAAGCGUUAUCCGGAUUUAUUGGGUUUAAAGGGAGCGUAGGCGGUCGGUUAAGUCAGUGGUGAAAGUUGGAGGCUCAACCUCGGAAUUGCAUUUGAAACUGGUAGGCUGGAGGAUAGUAGCGGUAGGCGGAAUGUGUGGUGUAGCGGUGAAAUGCUUAGAGAUCAUGAAGAACGCCGAUUGCGAAGGCAGUUUACCGGACUGCAACUGACACUGAGGCUCGAAAGCGUGGGUAGCAAACAGGAUUAGAUACCCGGGUAGUC